rnacentral:rRNA from 1 species
UACGAAGGGGGCUAGCGUUGCUCGGAAUCACUGGGCGUAAAGGGUGCGUAGGCGGGUCUUUAAGUCAGGGGUGAAAUCCUGGAGCUCAACUCCAGAACUGCCUUUGAUACUGAAUAUCUUGAGUUCGGGAGAGGUGAGUGGAACUGCGAGUGUAGAGGUGAAAUUCGUAGAUAUUCGGAAGAACACCAGUGGCGAAGGCGGCAUUCUGGACCGACAUUGACGCUGAGGAGCGAAAGCCAGGGGAGCAAACGGG